CACGUAGGGGCCAAGCGUUGUCCGGAUUUAUUGGGCGUAAAGAGCGUGUAGGCGGCUUGGUAGGUCCGCUGUGAAAACUCGAGGCUCAACCUCGAGAUGUCGGCGGAAACCACUUGGCUAGAGUCCGGAAGAGGAGAGUGGAAUUCCCGGUGUAGCGGUGAAAUGCGCAGAUAUCGGGAAGAACACCUAUGGCGAAGGCAGCUCUCUGGGACGGUACUGACGCUGAGACGCGAAAGCGUGGGGAGCGAACAGG
rnacentral:rRNA from 1 species